CCAGCCUGGGCAACAGAGCAAGACACCAUCUCAAAAAAAGAAAAAAAACACUCAAAGUAUCCAGGUGUUUCCUCUUUGGAGCACAGGUGGUAAAUGACCCACACAAGACAGAGGUAAAAAACAUUAUGGCCUCAGGCCUUUAUCAGCGCGUUCUGCAAACCCAGAUGUGUGUCAAGUGAAGCUGCUGACAGAGCACAACAGCUGAAUGAUCUCAGAUACCACUGUGUUUUUAAUCCACUGCCUAAAAGACAGGAUGAGCCCAAAUUCUUCAAUGUCACAAUCACCUGGCACCUAAGAGCUGCCUGCUUCCAUGGCCUCCAGAUGACUCCAGGCUAGACGUGCAGGAGGAGGCACUGGUGAAGGUUCUUCCCCCAUCCUUCACCCAGCCCAGCCUGGCCGGGAUUCUAGGUGUUGUGCCGGGCACCAGGCUGACCAGGACCCUGCCCUCAAGAGAGACACGUGAGUUGCAAAAAAUAGGGGGAGAGGCCAGUGCGGAAGCCUGAAAUCGAAGAGUGGCUGUGGGAGGUCCAAAGAGUGGGGGCACGGGGUUCAGUGAUGAAGUGGUGAGAGCAAGUUCCUGGUACGCAGCCUGGGAAUCAGAACACGUGAGUGCAACUUGAAUCCAGUUCUGCUGCUGAUUGAGCCUGUGACCCAGGGAAAGUUACUUCUCCAAACCUCAGCUAUUCCAUUGCUAAAAUGGGGAGGCUCUCCUGUGCCUUGUGUGGGAAAUAGCUUAUGGACAGUGUUACAGGGACCCUAGUGACUUGAGGAACAGAAUUCUGGAGCAGAGCACCACACUGGCCAAAUGUAGAAUUUAUGGGAAGGCAAUUUAAGGAAUUUGGGAUAAUUUUGCUGUAACUGAAGAAACUCCUGAUGGGAGGAACAGCCAGGCAUUUAGUCAGCCUGUCAAUCAUCACAUCGAAAGCCCACCACCUGCUACAGGUGCUCUCUCUUUCAAGGCCAUCUAAACCCUUCUUAUUCUGCAAGAAGCAGUCUAAACACCCCAGACAGGCCCUGCAGGAGUCAUGGCUUCCUGCUCUGUGCUCCCCACAUGGCUGCCUCUGGUCACGGCCACCUGCACACCUGUCUCCUUGAGAAUGGGAAUGUGCUGGGAGGGCGGGGCUCAGGACCAUCAGAUGCUUCUGGAUGAGCGUCUUAAUCUUGUCUUCAAAUACCCGUCAGUAAACCUGAGCACUUCCCCUGCACUUUAGGGACCAGCUGGGAGUAAACCCAGAAACGUCCUACAUAGGCCUAAGACACCGGAAUCUGAGCUGCUUCGAUGUUAUUUACAACUCCUCCUUCCUAAAGCACCUUCCAGGAAGGGCUAGCUUCAAGUUGGUAACACUUCACCAGGUGAGCUCCACUGACUAGGAGGGAGACAGGCGGCAACUCCAGCACAAAGUGACCCCUUCACACCCAUGUAGAACGACUGAGAUGGGAGGCCACGCCCUUCUAUUCCCAGAGGCCAGCAGGCCCCUGAGCAGCCUGCCCUGUCGUGCAGGCACCUGUCCAGGAGGUUAGCCCCUUUAUGUAAUUAUGAAAUAAGGCGCCAGGUUGUAAAUGUCACUGUUGAAGAGAAAGAUGCUUCCUAGGAAUGCUGGAAUUCAUUAGGAUGAGGUUUCUAAAGGGGCCUGUUCCUCUGGCCUCUGGUCCUUAAUGUAGCUGUGUCUCUGUGGGAAAUACGUGGGGGCAAGAGGGUUACACAGAACACUGAAGGCAUUGUGAGGACAGAAUGAGACUGAUCCAUGGAAGCGACAUCACAGAGAAGAUGCUGGUUGGAGGAGAGCUGAAAUGACAGCAGUAGGCCCACCGAAAUGUAAGGAAUACAUGACUGAGAUAACUGCCCCCAAUGCCAGGAAGACAUGAAACCUGUAAAUCAUGAGGAAAAAUGUCUGAGAAAAAGGAAGACUAGACAUCUACAAGACUCACAAGAACGGCCAGCACCCCAGGCUGGCUGAAUGUCCACCACGUCCAAACCUUGAGAAAAUACAACAAAAAGAAUGAUCUAGCAUGGCAGAUCUGAAAAGCCUGGUUAUAACUGAGGCACCUCUACCCAUUUUACAGAUGAGGAAACUGAGGCCCAAAAAGAGAGACCUGUCAGGCAUUACACUCAAGCUAGGUGACAAAGCUGAUCUCAGAACCCAGGUCUCCCGACUCCCUAGCUAAUGCUCUUGUGUUUAUUAGCCCCAUCACCUCCAACCCACUCCCAACACGGGCCAUAAACUCCUAGAGAACACAGAGCAUUGUGUAAUGGACCAAAGGGUGUGCACAAGACUAAACGGGCACCCAACACAACUAGCUCGUGGAGUAUCUGCAUCACCCCAUGAAAAUAUCAGCAAGAAGACGAGUGAGUACAAGCUAAAGGUGUAGCUUUCAAGACCUCCAAGACCCUGUCACCACCAUCGCCGCCACAGCCCUGGCAGCACUCCUCAGGAGCUCCUGGCUGUCCAGCAGACUGCCUUCAGGGCUGAGAACACCUACGCCUUCUGCAUGGGUCUGAGGCCUGGCUGGCGGCCGAUACCUCUGUACAGUUACACCAGAGAGGGCCACAUGCACGGCCCCAGUACCAGCUGGGAGAUUUUCAAACCAACAUUCCCAAGGGGAUGUGCAGCUGGAAUUGGCGGUAGUGGAUCUCACAUCCAACAGGAACUUGGGUCGCUUCUGAGCCAGACGUUUCUCUGCCAAAGCGCUCUUCUCCAUCUCCCUCCCAGUACAUGGCUUGGGCCAACUCAGCUCAUCAUCAGCAUCCAAUUAAACCAGCCACAAGCAUGUCAUCUGACCAUGGGUGGAAUUAUAACCCAGAGUGAGUAAUUAAUGAUACCCAAAAAUAAACAACAAAAGGAAAAAAAAUUCCAGAAGAAAAAAAACGUGAGCCUUCUGUCCUCUCCUUUGCUUUCUCCUAUCCCCGGAAGCAAUUCUUGGCAGACACAUCUUAACACACAAAAAGCAACAUGCAACAAAAUAGAUCAAGAAAUGGUGCAAAGAAAAGACAUGCUCAGUAUGAAGUGAUAGCGCACGCUACGGAUUGAUGUCGUUCAACACACAGGGGAAACGGAAUCUGAGAUCUGAAAAUCUUCCAUGUCUAUGCUGGCAUUCUGCUCCAUUGUGUUGACCUCACCCAUGCUCAGCCAAGAAGAGCUUCCUGGUAUCACCCACUUAUGGCAGGUUGUGCCAAGCAUAUUCGUCCCUUCUGGUUUUCCCCAAAAUGCAAAUACCAGAAGGUUCCGUGGUGCCUGAGGCAGGGGAACUGAACAAGGCAGAAAUGUCAGAGCUGCUGAGGCUGCAGCUUUGGGCCCAUCAUCCAAGUAUUUGAGACAGCAGUGACCCUCUUGGAAAAUCUCCAGGCUACGGGAUCAGUGUCCACUCUCACUGGAUAAAGAAACGAUAACUGCAUAUCACAGGCAGCACCAGAACACCUUCUCUUUCCUCUAUUUGUUUUUUCAAACAACUGUUGACAUGGACUCUACAUUAUUCCGCAAAAUGUGAACUGAGGGAUUUUAGGCCCUGGGGUAGAGCCGUGGGUCACAGGCCUGGCUAUGGCACUGCAUCCAACCAUGGCUAAGCCAUCACCAGCUGUCCCAGACUGUAAGGAUGAGGAGUUUGAAACGGGUGCGGUCUGAGACCCCUCCCAGUCCUACCAUGCUGUGAUUCUGAACAGAAAUGGUCUUUGCCCCUCACUCAUACCUUGUUUGUUCUCAGAACAGCACAAAUAUAUCAUCAGACACAGGAGAUACACCUACUGCGUUGUUCUCGCCCAUGCCCAGCCAAGCAAGCCACGAAAUCCCUACUAUGUGCCAAGCACUAUGCUAAAUGUGAAGGUUCAGAAUUAAAUAGUAUCUUUCCCAGCUUCAAAAAUGCCAAUACUGGAGGGUUUUUCACUAGAUAUUCUCUGCUGCCACUGCUGCAGCUGCUUCCAUCCUACCCUGGUCCUGAGGGCAGCAGCCCUGUUCACCAGUCACCCAGCAAGCAUGGGCAGGCCCUGCCGAGAGAGGGCCCUACCUAUGGAAGAAGAACCAGAGGCUGGGAGGUGCUGGGACCUGCCUUACUACUGAGAGCUGCCCUCUUCUGCAACAUUCCUCACGAUCAUUAAACAUCGCCACAUGGAAACUGACAUUUCCUUAGUACCUACUGUGUGCCAGCCCCUGGAAUACCUGAAAGGCCCCCACUUUCCAUUUGGCAAAUGUUGAAAAUUCGGGUCCAUGGUGGCCUGUACUAACCUGCCUAGGGUCACAUGGCCAGUGAGUGACACAGCAGGAAUGCAAGUUAGCCCCCGCCCCCAUCACAAAGUCUGAGCUCUUUUGCCUCAACGUGGUCCCUUUAAACAGGGAUUACCUCUAAAUCCACCCGCUCCCUGUGCAGUUACCUACUUCUGGGAAACACUCCAAAACCUAGUGGGUUAAAACAACAGUGUAUUACUAUCCCUGACAGUUCCGUGCGUCCACUAGGCUUAGCAGGGUGGUUCUGACUGUGGGGGUCUUUUGGGUGAAGGCAGUAAGAUGGUGGCUGGGCUGGAGGCCUCUAAAGGCUCAGCCUGGCUGGCUGACCGUGAUGGCUACACAGGUUGCCAGCAGUCCCUGCUAGCCGCGGCCACACGCUCAGCAGGGCUGUCA